rnacentral:lncRNA from 1 species
GGUCUUUUACGUCGGCCUUCGCGAGCGUCUGGGCGGGUGGUAGGUGAGUGGGUAUUGCGGGCUAGUAUCCGAGCAAAAGAUGGUGGCGCAGGCCGAGUUAAGAGCUUUAAUCCUGUGAAGACAUCUUAGUGAAGAGUUUAGAGUGCUGAGAGUUGAAAGCUUGCACGUGGGAAACGUGCGGCCGGACUGCCACAUGUACUGAGGUUGAGUCGUGACGGCCACAGGCUCCGAGUUUUGGCGUGAGGAACCGCUGAUCGGCCACGGGCGCCGAACUUGCUGGCCUCCGGCAUGUGCCUGAGCGGCGGCGGAAAAACCACCUUAAUUGGGGCGGAGGGUUAGUUUUAACAGCAAAGGGCCUUUACUAAAAUGGCGAAGGCCUUCCGUCGGCGUUGUUUUAAAAUGGGAAGCCUCGACCCUGUAUUGAAACUGAGCUGUUCGAAGGCGGCGUUGUGUGCAAUUCGGAUUAAUGAAGGGGAAGGGUUUUGUGUGGAAAAACGCCUUGGAGUGUGACAUUUCUGCGAGAAUGCUUAAAUACCGAUUUCCCGCAGGAACAAUGGCGCUGUCUUCAGUGGCACAGUGGAGCAGCUCUGAAGAUGCAAAGUUAGUUGAAUCCAUGGACAUGAAACCCACAGAUAUAGAGGGUUGGCCCGGUGCAGUGGCUCACGCCUGUAAUCCCAGCACUUUGGGAGGCCAAGGCGGGUGGAUCACCUGAGGUCAGAAGCUUGAGACCAGCCUGGCCAACAUGGGUACUGCUUUCUCUUGCUGCAGCUUGCUUCCUCCCUCAGGUAUGAAGUUAAGGUAACAUGAAGGAGGAUAUUGAAUGUUCCUAACACAAAGAAAUGAUAAAUGUUUGAGAUGGUGGAUGUACUAAUUGCCCUGAUCUGAUGACUAUACAUUAUAUAUAUUGAAACAUCAGUAUGUACCCCAUGAAUAUGUACAAUUAUAUGUCAACUUAAACACAUUUAAAAGUAAAAAAAAAAAAAUCCAAAACACGCAAGGAACUGAGCCAGCACGAAUAAGAAUUAGCAAAAUCUUCAAACCUCAAGACCAGACUCACAAGGACUUCAGAUACAGAAAUUUUAAAUAAAAAUUAUAAAAUGAGUAUGUUAAAAUGUUUAAAGAAAUAAAGGAAGGCAUUGGUAUAUGAUACAGAAAUAAAAGACCAUCAAAAAUAAUUUGGAUGACAUGAAAACAAUCAAAUAGACAUUCUGGAAAUAAAACAUAUAUAAUGGACAGGAGUGAAUGUCCCUAGGCUCCUGACCUCUCUGCAUUUGCAAGUAGUCUGAGCCAGAAAACGCUGAAAGACCUCAGAAGCCAAGUGGAAGCCCCACAGUGAAGCCAGGAGGGCCUUCAUUUCAGACUCAGCAGCUGCCCACGGUGGUGGCUGACACACUGCUGUAGCAUGUGUGCUGCCUGAACACUCACUGGCCACCCCCACAGCCCAGAGCACUGGCAUCAUCUGUACUAUCGGCCUAGUUUCCUGAUUGGUGGAAAUGUUGAUGAUUAAGUCUGGAAUUAAUAUGGCUUGUCUGAACUUACGAGUACCACGCAGAGACCAUCAGGAAUGUGUGCACAACUAUGGAAAGCCUUGCUUCUGACCCCAAUCUCUAGCGGCUAGUUGCUGUGGCUCUGGACACUAACGGGCCUGAGAUCUGAACUGGGCUCACACAGAGCAGUGUCCCCAUGGAGGUGGAGCUGAAGAAGGGAGCCACCUUCAGAUCACACUGGAUAAUGCCUACAUGGAAAACUUAUGAUGAGAACUUCCUGUAGCUGGACUACAAGAACAUUUGUAAGGUAGUGGAAAGGGGCAGCAAGAUCUAUAGAUUUAAUAACUUAUUUCUCUGCAGUUGGAGCAGAAAGGUACUGACCUCCUGGUGAUAGCAAUGGAAAAUUAUGGCUCCUUGGGCAGCAAAAAGGGUGUAGACCUUCCUGGUGACUGUGGACCUGCUUGCCAUGUCAGAAAAGGACAUCCAGGAUCUGAAGUUUGGGGUAGAAUGGGAUGUGGAUAUGGUGUUUGCCUCUUUCAUCCAUGUGGCAUCUAAUGUCCAUGAAAUUAGAAAGGCAAUUAUUGCAAACUGGAGCAAGGUGCCCACUUGCCCACCAGAGUUAGGCUCUUACCUUCCCAGAGGAACUGAGACCCACAGCUAUUUUUAUAUAUCUUACAGUUCAGAUCAGAUACAAAUAUGUAAACCUCUACAUUAUUUCUAUGUAGAAAUUAUGAUACUCUUUAAGCCUGUCACAGAUUUUGUUAUUUAAUGCAAAGAAGCACAUAUAUUACUAUGGGACACUUUUGGUUUGUUUAAAUAUUUUGAUAGUUGUAUUUUAAUGUAAAGGGUUUCAUUUGUAAUCUUAUACAGAUGGUCCCCAACUUACAAUGGUUCAACUUAUGAUUUUUCAUCUUUACAACGGCAUGAAAGCAAUACAUUUUCAGUAGAAACUGUAGGUCAAAUACUCAUACA